UCUGGAAGGCGCUGGUGGGGGAGGGGCUGGGGCCGGAGAUCCUGGGACGUGGGAAAGAAGUUGAGGGGGCUCCCCAGAGACUCUCAUCCAGCAGCCUCUGCUCAGGCCCAGCCUUCUCUCUCCAGUUACCACCACAGCCUGGAGGCGCUUGCCUCCGCCCUCCCGAAUGGUGCUCCUCCUCGCAGGCCUCGGCCCAGGAUCCAGGCCCCCUUUGCCCCCUGCCUCGGAGCUAUUGCUCUGGGUCUCUCCUGGUGGACUCCCCGUGACAGGGAGGGAAGGACUUUUGCACAUACAAGGCUAUAGCUCUUGGGACCCCGCCGGCAACUUGAAUCUCGGCCUCUAACCGAGUGUGAGGUUCUUCCUGUGCCCUGUUUUUCCACCCUUUGAGAAUUGAAACCCCUCUUCUUGCCACCCAGAGCCCAGGAAGCCCCAAGCUGGGGCCCUGGUCCCAACAUGUCAGUCCUCUCUUAUGCAUAGGGCUGUGCCCUCUCCCUGUCAGCAUGGCUGAACUCAGGCAGAUUCCAGGGGGGCGGGAGACCCCACAGGGAGAGCUUCGGUCUGAGGUUGUAGAAGAUGAAGUCCCUCGGAGCCCAGUUGCAGAGGAGCCUGGAGGAGGUGGAAGCAACAGCAGUGAAACCAAAUUGUCCCCAAGAGAAGAAGAAGAACUGGAUCCUAGAAUACAGGAGGAGCUGGAGCAUCUGAACCAGGCCAGCGAGGAGAUCAACCAGGUGGAGCUGCAGCUGGAUGAGGCCAGGACCACCUACCGGAGGAUCCUGCAGGAGUCAGCAAGGAAGCUCAAUACACAGGGCUCCCACUUGGGGAGCUGCAUCGAGAAGGCCCGGCCCUACUAUGAGGCUCGGCGGCUGGCUAAGGAGGCCCAGCAGGAGACACAGAAGGCAGCACUGCGGUAUGAGCGGGCUGUGAGCAUGCACAAUGCUGCCCGGGAGAUGGUGUUUGUGGCUGAGCAGGGCGUCAUGGCUGACAAGAACCGGCUGGACCCCACGUGGCAGGAGAUGCUCAACCACGCCACCUGCAAGGUGAAUGAGGCAGAGGAGGAGCGGCUUCGUGGUGAGCGGGAGCACCAACGGGUGACACGGCUGUGCCAGCAAGCUGAGGCUCGGGUUCAGGCCCUACAGAAGACCCUCCGGCGGGCGAUUGGCAAGAGCCGCCCCUACUUCGAGCUCAAGGCCCAGUUCAGCCAGAUCCUGGAGGAGCACAAGGCCAAGGUGACAGAACUGGAGCAGCAGGUGGCCCAGGCCAAGACCCGCUACUCAGUUGCCCUGCGCAACCUGGAGCAGAUCAGCGAGCAGAUUCACGCCCGGCGCCGGGGCCAGCUCCCUCACCCCCCGGGCCAGCGGCGCUCCUCCCCAGUGGGGGCCGAGGCUGGGCCUGAUGGUGGCGAGGAUGGGGACAGCGGGAUCAUCGAGGGGGCUGAGGGCGGGGGUCUGGAGGAGGGUGUCAGCCUGGGGCCUGGCCCCGCCCCAGACACGGACACGUUGAGCCUGCUGAGUCUGCGCACUGUUGCUUCGGACCUGCAGAAGUGCGACUCCGUGGAGCACCUGCGGGGCCUCUCGGACCACACCAGUCUGGAUGGCCAGGAGCUGGGUCCCCGGAGUGGGGGUCGUGGGAGCCGCCACCAGCGCAGUAUCAGCCUGUAGCCCCGUGCUCAGGGUGGCUGGUGCACUCUUACCACCACUGGCCCAUAGAGGGCCCUGCAGGCUCCUAGCUCCCUCUCCUCGGGUCCUUGCUUCCCUCAGAGAGGUCAGGUUGGCUGUGUCUUGAGUCUGUCCUGUCUGUCCUGGCUUUCUCACCCUGCCCUGCCCUGCCCCGCCCCCCACAGGUGGCAGCUCUCUUUGCCUUACCCUUUCAGAAGGCUUAUCUUUGGCUCUCAUGUCUCCUCCCCUUGCUGGCCCCUCACAGUCUGUCUGACACUGUUUGCUGCCCUCUUUUUGACUUCUUCCAUCUGUCUGGUUUUUCCCCUCAGGGAAAUUUGUCUAGAAGGCACAGGAAAGCCAUCAGAGAAGGUAAAAGAUGACUUCCAAGUCAGCGCUUGACCUGUUGGUGGGUCAGAAGGGGGUUGAGAAUGUUUGUACCUGCAGCCUGUGAAACAUCUGGUGGAAUCAGCUUGGGGAAGAGACGAGAACUUCAGGAGCUGUGUAAAUGGAGAGUGAAGGCUUUUGACCGAGCCCCACCAGGGGUGCACCUACAUUUCUAACCCGGUAAGGAGGGAGUCAGCUAAGGGAUGAAGACGGUGCUGCCAGGGAGGAGGAGAGGGAGACCCGCUGGCAACCUGGUGGGAAAGGGUGUCCUGAAGACCUUUAAGGGGCAAGGUGAAAGUCAGGAGGGCAGAAGAGUGACCCUGGUGACCUCAGGUGGUAGGUGGGCCAUUAGGAGCCACUGUGUACCCUUUGACAAGACUGUUCAGGUUGUGAGACUGCCUUUCCUGAUGUGGCUUAUUAAUUGAGAAAUAAGUAAAGUGUGAUAAGUCGGAUGGGUGCGAAAAUAUUUCCUUUAUCACUGGAAAAGCUGCUGUGAGUGUGUGUAUGGCCUGUGUCCUUGGGCAAAUGGGCUUUCUGAGAUGAUUCCCCAAGGUCAUACUUCCCUACCCAGUCCUUGGCAGUGUGGGACCUGUAAGGGUCCCUGGUGCAAAGGAGCCCCAGAAAAGAACUGGCUGUGCCCACCCUGUUUCUCCAUGCAAAAUCACCUACCAGGUAAGGCAGUAGUGGAGAGAGAACAGGAGGGUUAGCACUAAUGGCUAACCAUGGCACAUGUGCCCCUUAGCCCUAUUAUAACAAUAGUGGGUUGGCACUCACCCAGUGUCUCAUGCCAGGCAUAUGCAUCAACCCAUUUAGUACCCACAGCAUUAUGGGGUGGGUAGCACCACAGUUGCUUUUUCACAGAUGAAAAUACAGGCAUAGUAGGGGCGGCCAGUCUGCCCUUAACCUUGUAGAAGGUGAUGGAGGCAGUUUCUAGAGUCCAAACUCUUCAGCCCUUGAGCGCAGGCACCCACAGAAACUAGAGGUGAGAAAGUAGAGGGGGUGGGUGUAGUCAACUCUUAGGAAGUUUUACUGGGAAGGGGAGCUGAGAAAUAUCAGGACUGUCAAGGAAUUUUAAAGUAAGCAAGAGAUUGUCAAGUUAUGGGGAAUGUGGAGUCUUCCCUGUUUUUGUACCAUGUCAUAUCAUAUGUCAUAGUGGUAAUGACUUCUUCUGAGCUAUGUCCCACUCAAGUGAGAAGCUGGGCCUCAGUCUCCCUGGCAUCCGGUUUAUGCCUGGCACCUAAUAGAUAAUCAGAAAAUGUGCUUUUUCAUCUCCCUCCUCCCUGCCCCUAUGCAGAUCUGUACCAGGUUAUAGGUGGUCCCUGACCUAUGAUAGUUUGACUUGAUUUUUUGACUUUACAAUGAUGAGAAAGCAAUACACAUUCAGUAGAAACUGUACUUCACAUUUUGAAUUUUGAUCUUUUUCUGGGCUAGCGAUGUGAGGUAUGAUACUCUCUCAUGAUGGUGAGCAGUGAUGGCAUGCUGUAUAGCUCCUAGUCAGCCACACGACCUUGAAGGUAAAUGACCGAUACAGUUAGAACCAGUCUAAACUCAUACAGCCAUUCUGUCUUUCACUUUCAGUACAGUAUUCAGUAAACGACAUGAGAUAUUCAACACUGUAUUAUAAAAUGGGCUUUUUUUGUUAGAUGUUUUUGCCCAACUGUAGGUUAAUGUGAGUGUUCCGAACACAUUUAAGGUAGUUUAGGCUAAGCUGUGGUGUUCAGUAGGUUAGGUGUAUUAAAAAAAAUGUUUAUUUAUUUAUUUAUUUGGCUGUGCCGGGUCUUAGUUUCGGCACACGGGAUCUUCAUUGCGACAUGCGGGACCUUUAGUUGCAGCAUAUGGGAUCUUUUAGUUGCAGCAUGUGAACUCUUAGUUGCAGCAUGUGGGAUCUAGUUCCCUGACCAGAGAUUGCACCCAGGCCCCCUUCAUUGAGAGCACAGUCUUAGCCACUGGACCCCUCAGGGAAGUCCCCCAAGUGCAAUUUUGACUUAGGGUAUUUUCAAUUUAUGUUGGGUUUGUGAGGAUGUAACCCCACUGUAAGUCUAGGAAGAUCUGUACUUUGUUAGUACUGCAGUUAGGAGAUAAGAUCUGUAUUCACAGUCCUAGGAACUCCACGUCUCCAGGAGGGAGGUCCCCAGUUUCUCUGUGCUUCAAUUUUAUGACCUGUGUGAUAAGAAAAGCUAGGUGUGCUUAGCACAAUCCCAGGUUGAUAGCCACAAUGAUCCAUGUUAGCAGUUCUCUGAAGCUCAGAAUGCAGUGAAGUUCACCAUAGGAGGCCUUGACCCAUCUUGUGCUAAACAAGGAGGCUCUUUAUAAAGACCCCACUGAGGGUUGGGUUUCCCUCUUUGGAUAUGAUUUUGGUAGCCUUCCAUACUCUGCCUUGCGUGUAAAGGGGAGAUGGGCUUCUAGAGCUGUCAUGGUCCUGCCCUGUCGGCAGGGGGCAGCAACCACCAGAAAGCAGGCGAAGUGAGAUCUGGGUCUCCAGCUAUGUGGGCGUUACUAUGUUAAUCCUGCUGGACUGCAAGGUUCACCUCCUGGACUCUGGGAAGUGGGGUCUGGGAGCAUGGUGGGGUACAGGUUGGGGUCCGUACUCCAGAGUUGAACCCUGUCUGUCCCCACACAGGCCCCUUGCCUCCUUGCACGUCACUGGAAUUACCAGCUGUGUGAAAGCUGGGCCAGAUGUGCUGGGGCUGGUGUCAUUUGAGACCAGAUGUUCUGUGCCUGUGAUGUGCCCUGUUCUCCUCAGAGCUCACCUUCUUUAUUGUCCACCCUGGUAUCCUAUCCCUUUCCCUUCCUCACCCUCCCUCCAUGUUCCCCUCUUGGGAAAUCCCGUUGGCUUCUCCCUACCACCAUUCCUGUGCCAUAGCCUGAACUAAGGGAACCAGGGGACCAUUUCCCUGGCUGGCAAAAGUAUGUGUGGCUUAUUAAGAAAUAUUUACCAGGAUCUUUCCGAUUGCAAAACACUGUGGUAGGGCUAGUUACAAACACCAGAAAAUAUAAUACCAUGGGUAGGACAUGCAGGUAAGGAAUGCGGGGAUACACAUAGCUAAUAGGCAAUGUAGGGCAGUAAAAAAUAGAUAACUAAAGAGGGAGGCAAUCAAGAGGGCUCUGGGAGGUUAGCUGAGCUGGGGAUACUCUGAAGCUCUGAACCAGCCCCUGGCCUUAGGCUAGAGAGGUGGAAGCAGGAAGCCCCAUCCCCACCCUGCCCCCCACCUCCCAGCCUUCCUGUCCCCAUGCUUCACUCUUCUUUUUUGGCUGCCAAGUGGGGGCUACUCUUUGUUGCAGUGUGUGGGCUUCUCAUUGUGGUGGCUUUUCUUGUUUCAGAGCACGGGCCCUAGGAUGGAUGGGCUUCAGUAGUUGUGGCGCCCGGGUUUAGUUGCUCCAUGUCAUGUGGGAUCUUCCUGGACCAGGGAUCGAACCUGUGUCCCCUGCACUGGCAGGCAGGUUCUUAACCACUGCACCACCAGGGAAGUCCCCAUGCUUCCCUCUUGUGAAAUCUGACAUGAGCUCUUCCCACCAAGGCCUGUGUAUGCCCCAUCUUGGUGUUCUCAGGGCUUGGCAUGUGGCACUCUCCACCAAACAUCUGCCCUCAGACUUGCUUAUACUUGUGCUACUCUUGGCAUAGGUUUCCCCCCUGCUUAACCUGGUAGACUUCUGCCUGUGGCUUGAGGCCCAGCUCAUGUGGAAUUUUGACAGAAGGCCUUUCUGGUUCCCCAGCUCUCCAGCAAGCUCAGAAUUAAUCCCACCACCCAAGCUCCCCAAGGCUUUUUUCACUUACUGCAGGACCAGCCCAAUGUCACCCCUGGGGUCUUCCCUGACUACAUCUUACUCAACACCUAACAUGGUACGAUAGACAUUGUGACUAUAUAUCGGUUAAUACAGUGACUAUGUCAUGUAUGGUCUAAAGUGGGACACUUGAGGGAAUUCGCUGGUGGUUCAGUGGUUAGGACUCUGCUUCCACAGCAGGGGGCAUGGGUUUGAUUCCUGGUUGGAUCCCGCAUGCUGCUCAGCCAAAAAAAAAAAAAAAAAAAAAGUGGGACAUUUGAGUGUGAGAGGGGGCAGAUGUAACCCAGGACUGAAACGCACUGACCAUACAGCCCAGAGAGGGCUGUCAUUCACCUGUCUCUGCCAUAAGGGGCUGUAUGCACAUUGGAUGAGCUGCUUAGCUCCUCUGGGCUUUGGUGUUCCAGUCUGCAAGAAGUGGAGCUGAACUGGGUAGAUAACCUCUGAGGUUAUCUAAAAUACUAAAAUUAUAUGGCCAGUGGGGAAGGUUGGAGCCUAUCAGAGGUGUUUUGGUGGAGAAUGUGAGACAGUGGAUGUGUUUGGUGUCAGAGCAUGAAAACACCAAGGCUAGGGUUGAGUAGGGUCCAGCCCAGAAGCAGUAGAGGGCUGCCAGACAUCUCUGCUUUGGGCAUGAGGUGGUGACAUUCCACUGUGGUCAAGGAAUUUGGAAUUCCUGGCAGUGGUUUCUCCUUCCUAAUGGCAGGCAAGUGGUGGUCACAACAAAGCAGGGAUAUACCAGCUUAUUCAUCAACAUGGUUGGGAAGAGAGGGUGGCAAAAUGAGUUUCUUUCCCAUUUAGGACAGAGGAACAUUUUGAUCUGGGAUGGAAUGAAGAUCAGGGCCAUGGAGUUUGGUAAGAGACGACAAACUUCCUCAGCUGCUGCUUCAUCGCACAUGCCUGCUGUGCCACCCUUUCCCUUUUCCUCUCUCCUUAUGAUUUCCAUGAUAACAUGCAGAAGGGCAGGGUUCUCUUCACAUCCAACAGGAGGGAAUUUCAGUCAUGCCUUCUCCAAAGGUGAUGCAGGAAUUCUUGCAAGUGUUGGGGGGCUAGGGGAAGAGUGGAGGGAAUAAUGGAAGCUCCUAGCAUGCAGGGCUUCCUGGCAGGAGGCUUUUAGGGCCUGCUGCUAUUUAGGGGAGAAUGAGAGGUCCUCACUUAACAUCACCUCUCCCUUCUAACCUCAGUGUUGCUGCUGUGGUUUUAGCCUCCCACUCUCCUUGGAGAGAGAGGCCAGAAGCCCACCUCCCCUGAACCCCAGAGUGGGAGUGUGUGUUCCUGCUGUCCUCCCAUUUGGCAUUCUUCCAGCUAAUCCUUUUCCAACCCUGCUUCCACGUUGGACAGGAUUUCCAAAGCCUCAAAUCACAAGCCAUCGCUUCUCUCUCAAACAGUUUCACAGCAGAGGAACUGUUGCUACCCAGUAGGAAGGGACCUGUCAAUGACAAGAAAGGCAUGAGGUGUUAAGAUGGUCUCCCUUAGAGAGAGGAAAGCUAUGUCUUCACAGCACCAACAAAAACCAAACUCGAGGUUAAAAAAAAAAAAAUUGCAGCCUGGUAUUUAGUUAACCUGCCAUCUUGGGUAUAUUAUUUAUUUUUUCUGAAUUGAGUUAUUUUUUUAAAAAAUACAUUCUAAAGACACAUCCAGAGAGAAUGUGACAGGCAAAAAGGCAGAAUCUGAAAGACGGGCAACUUGAUCUGGAUGCAUGCAUGGAAAGGGGUAAGAGGUAACACUGCCACUAGAGAAGCCACAAGAAUUGGAGAAAGUGAAAGAAGUGGAGUAGUAGAAGAAGAGAGAUGUGAAAAUAUAGCGUGUGCACUCAGCUAGAGGGAGGGACCUCAGAGAUUAGAAGAGGAAAAUACUCCCAGGUGACUGAGCUAGUAGCAGAGAUGGUGCUCAGAGGUUCCUGGACAAUAAUUGAGCCAAGUCAGAUUUAUAGCCCUCCCUUAUCUUGACCUGUCUUAAGGUUCAUAGGGGUGGGACCAUUCCUGGAGCUGCCUACGUCUGCUGGCCAGAAAUUUAUGGCUCUGACGUCAGGGAAAUCACUGAUAAAUUGUGUCUCAGAUAUGCCCAGCCCUCCAUUGGCUCCAACCGUGUUUGAGAUCCAAUAAUAGACAACCAGAUCCUGUGAGUUGUUAAAAAGCAAAAUUCAACUGAGUAAAUUUUAAAGACCUUAUUGGCUUUAUUCAGUGAUUAAUGAGUCAGGCAGCAUCUCAUCUAGCAGAUCGAAAGGAGCUCCAAGGAGCUGUACAAAUGAAAGACUUUUAUAGGCAGAAGGGAGCAGGAACAAGGAAGACAUACUAGCGAAAAAUGCACUGGCUGUGGCAAGAUCACCUUCCUUUAGGGGGCUGCAGAGGUCUAUCAGGCAGAUUAUUUCACUAGUGCUGACCAGGUAAUUCCUGGUUGACUGGUUUAAAAUUCCAUUCCUAGGAGAGGCCAUAGCAAUAAUUACAUUAAGCAUUAAGUCCGUGGGACUUAGCAUAAGUGACUACAUCUCGAGCCUGUUGUCUUGCUUUUAAUAGAGUGAAUUCAAGACAUAGGCAGGGCCCAUGGAAGACAGGGGACAGGGGUUGCCAUCCUAGGAAAUUCUUGAAUUCUUUCUUGGAAGUAGCUAUCCUAUUACCAGGUAGAAGAGGACCAAGGGGGGUGUGCCUUAGGAUGUGUUCAAGGACAUCUUGGCAGCUCUGUACCAGUAAUUCCAUGAGAAUUUGUGUGCCUGGAACCCAGUCAAAGCUGAACAAGUCUCUCUCUAACCAAAACAGUGUUGUUUUCUUGAGGACUUUUGGGUCUGGGAAUUUUGUGCUUCUUUGUGGGUAGAUUCAGUUAUGAGCAUGAAAAUCUCAGUGCAGUGAGGGCAGAAGAAAUAUUUGCUUAUCACCCACCCUUUAUUUUAACAUGGCUCAAUAGGGAGGUAUCACCCAGAGACUCUGGCCCAGAGAGGAUUCUUUUAGAACACUGGCUCCUAAAGUAUAUUCCCCAGACCAGCAAUAUAACCAUCACCUGGAACUUGUUAGGAAUGCACAUUCUCAGGCCCCACCACCCCAGAGAUACUGGAUCAGAAAUUCUGGGAAUGGCAUCCGGGACCUGCCUAACAAACCCUCCAGGUGAUUCUGGAGUCUGAAAAUAGGCAGGUAUAGGGGAUGUGGCAAACACAUACAGGGCUGCUAAGACUUGCACUUCAUUCACUUUUUAUUUGCCAAAGUGAGUUACUUGGCCUAACUUCAAAGAAGUGGGAAGUGCAACUUACAGUGUCCCCUGGAAGAGGGAGUUCUGGGUAUUUUAGGCCAUAGAUAGUGUUAAAUAAUAAAAAUUCAUCUGAGUAAAUUUUCAAGAUCUAAUUGGCUUUAUUGACUGAAUCAUGAAUCAGGCAACAUCUCAUCUAACAAGUAGAAAGGUAUUCCAAUAUUGGAAGAAUUAAUAUUAUUAAAAUGGCUAUACUACCCAAAGUAAUCUACAGAUUUAAUGGGAUCCCUAUCAAAUUACCCAUGCUGUUUUUCACAGAAGUAGAACAAAUAAUGCUAAAGUUUAUAUGGAACCAUAAAAGACCCAGAAUUGCCAAAUCAAUCCUGAAGAAAAAGAAAAAGGCAGGAGGCAUAACCUUCCCAGGCAUCAGACAAUACUACAAAGGUAUAGUAAUCAAAACAGUGUGGUAUUAGCACAAAAACAGACACAUGGAUCAAUGAAACAGAAUAGAGCCCAGAAAUUAACCCUCACAUCUAUGGUCAAUUAAUCUUUGACAAAGGAGGCAAAACUAUUCAAUGGGAAAAGACAGUCUCUUUGGUAAGUGGUGGUGCAAAAGCUGGGCAUCAGCAUGUAAAUCAAUGAAGUUAGAACACACCCUCACACCAUACACAAAGAUAAACACAAAAUGACUUAAUGACUUAAAUAUAAGACAUGAAACCAUAAAACACCUAGAAGACAACAUAGGCAAAACAUUCUCUGACAUAAAUCGUAGCAAUGUUUUCUUAGAUCAGUCUCUUAAGGAGUUAGAAAUAAAAGCAAAAAUAAAUGGGACCUAAUAAAACUUACAAGCUUUUGCAUAGCAAAGAAAACCAUAAACAAAAGGAAAAACCAACCUAUGGGCUGGGGGAAAAUAUUUUCAAAUGAUGAGACUGACAAGGGCUUAAUUUCCAAAAUAUACAAACAGCUCAUGCAACUCCAAACAAACAAAACAAAAACAAACCCCACAAACAACUCAAUCAGAAAAUGGGCAGAACACCUAAAUAGACAUUUCUCCAAUGAAGAAAUACAGAUGGCCAAUUGGCACAUGAAACAUGCUUGACAUUGAUAAUCAUUAGAGAAAUGCAAAUCAAAACUCCAGUGAGGUACCAUCUCACCCUGAUCAGAAUGGCCAUCAUUAAAAAGUCUACAAAUAACAAAUGCUGGAGAGGGUAUGGAGAAAAGGGAGCACUCUUACACUGUUGGUGGAAAUGUAAAUUGGUGCAGCCACUAGGGAAAACAGUAUGGAGGUUCCUCAAAAAAGCUAAAAAUAGAGUUGUCAUAUCAUCCAGCAAUCCCACUCCUGGACAUAUACUCAGACAAAACUAUAAUUCAAAAAUAUACAUGCACCACUAUGUUCAUAGCAGUGGUAUUUAUAAUAGCCAAGACAUGGAAGCAACCUAAGUGUCUAUUGACAGAUGAAUGGAUAAAGAAGAUGUGAUACACACACACACACACACACACACACACACACAAUGGAAUACUACUCAGCUAUAAAAAGAAUGAAAUAAUGCUAUUUGCAGCAACCUAGAGAUUAUCACACUAAGUGAAGUAAGUCAGAAAGAGAAGACAAAUACCAUAUGAUACCACUUACAUGUGGAAUCAUGACUCAAAUGAACUUAUCUAUGAAGUAGAGACAGACUCACAGACAUAGAGAACAGACUUGUGGUUGCCAAGGGGGAGGGGGAGUAGGGAAGGGAUGGAUUGGGAGUUUGGGAUUAGCAGAUGCAAAUAAUUAUAUAUAUUUAUAACUGAAUCACUUUGCUGUACACCAGCAACUAACACAACAUUGUAAAUCUAUACUUCAAUGAAAUAAAUUUUAAAAAACGUUAAAACAUUAAAAAAGAACAGAGCCCAAGGAGCUGUUACAAAAUGGAAAGCUUUUAUAGGCAGAAGGGGAAGUGAUAAGGAAAGAGCAGAUUAUAUGUUCCUUUCAGAGAUGGAACGGUCUGUGUGGUGAGUUACCUUGUUGGUGCUGAACAGAAAAUUCCAAAUUGACUGGUUAAGACUACAUUUGUGGGGAAGCGUCAAACUGCAGUUAGGUUAGGUAUUAAGCAAUGGUUUGAUGAUGCGGGAUGUGGCACAAGUGACUCCAUUUUAGGCCUGUUUCUUUUUAACCAUAGGAAAAAGUAGUAGCCAUAAACAUUAUCAAGAAGGUGGAAGAAGCUUGGGUUUGCUUUUUCUAUUUUCAUAAUGUAUUUCUGAACAAUAGGGUCUUUGGACCAUAAGCACCGUGCCAUUAUAAUUUCUUGGUUUUAUCUAUUAGGCCUAAUUAACAUUUCCCCAAUUGCCUCAUAAAUUCCCGAUUUAUAGUGGUCUUCAGGGUCUAAACAUUGCAUUGGGGAUGUUAAGUGGCUUUAGUCUGGUUGGUGUCUAUGAGGUUGUCAUUUCCACUGAUCAAGUGGGAACAUUAUUAACACACCGUGAAAUAAAAUUUGUAUUUUAUGGCAAGACAAGAAAAACUUAAACAUAAAAAAUUUUCUCUGACCUUUGGCCUCCUCUUUCCACUCACUGUGCAUUGUGUGUGAGAAAUGGAAUAUUUCCUGCCAUGUCAGUAAACAAAGGAUGCUACAGUUAUCAGCUAUUGCAGCCACCACUGAUGGUGAACUAGUGAGCCCUGAGGGAACUCAGGAAAGGAAAGAAAACCUGCUAUCAAGCAGCCGUCAAACUUCAGUCACCCCUUAUGGUGAGCCCUGAGGAAACUCAGGAUGUAAAAGCACAGGAUACUGGUCCCAGAGAGCUGAGAUGCAUAUCAAAGGAAUGAAUUCAGUGAGUGCAGACUCUUGUAACUUCCCAUACAUAGAAAAGCACUAAAUUCCUUAACUUGCAAUUUCUAGUUUUCUUUUUUUUUUCUUUUUUUUUUAAAUUUUUUUAAUUUUAUUUAUUUAUGUAUUAUUUUUUGGGGGGUACACCAAGUUCAAUCAUCUGUUUUUACACACAUAUCCCCGUAUUCCCUCCCUCACUCUAGUUUUCUUUAAUUAGCAAUAAUCUUUUGACAUUCCUGACUACGGGUCCUUUGUUGCAAAACUCCUAUAUAUCCUAGCUUCCCCUUUGCCUCUUUGGAGAAGUUCUCUCAGGGUUACUUGAGAUGCUACCUCCUGGGCUUGAAGUGCUAAAAAUUCCUGCCAAAUAAAACAUAACUCUCAACUUUUAGGUUGUGAACAAUUUUUUGUUGACAGUUAUGGUGACCAUGAAGGGGCCAGAGCAGAUUCCUCUCCUCCUGAACUCUAUGAGGAUCCAGAACCUUGGUACCAGCAGAGGCCUCCUGUAUCCAUCUGCCUCCUCAGGGAGUCCAGAUGAAUUUGGUUGAGUCUCAGUUCUAGGAUCUCCUGUUAUAGGUUGAUGAUCCUAAGUUUUAUUCAGUAGGGGAAUAGUUUAUCCUUGAAACUUGGUUUUAAGAAGUGGUACCUGGGUUAUCCUCAGUAAAAGGACUGGGAAGAUUUUGCUCAGUUUAGGCAAUGAAUGGGUUAUCCUUACUGAAAGGCACUGGGAAGAUUUUGCUUGAAUGGGUUAUCCUCAAUAAAAGGCACUGGUAAGACUCAGUUUAAAUGCUGAGUGGUUAUCCUCAGUUUAAAGACUGGGAAGACUUGGCUCAGUUAAACACUGAGUAAGGUGGGACUGAGUUAUUAUGGGGAAGAAUGGCCUGUCAUUUUUCCUUGAAUUGGCUACCUUAAUAGAAUUUGUCGAAAUAAAAAGUGAAGCCAUACGAGAGCUUCCAAGCUCCAAAGAAGGGACUCUCUCCUCCGGGCCAGUAAUGGCUUUCUCAGGCAACUGAGAAACUUGCAGGAGUGGUGGAGGCAAGUCCUCAUGCCAUGCAGCCAUCCCUUAGGGAAACACAUUCAUUUAAUUAACAACCUGCUUAACUAGGGACAUGCAUAAGAACUGACCAUUCCUAGGUCUGAGCAUCCGUGGUGGUCUUAUAUACCACCAGGGCAGAACCUGAGACAUGUAAGAGGGGCUGAAACAACUCUGGGGCCAAACCUAGAGGAGUUAAUCUCUCAAGCAGCACAUUGGCCCACCACAGGAUCAUCACUAGCAAUUUAUUUCAACAAACCAACUUCAGAAUGGGAAAUAAAGAUUUCAAAAUAAAAGAAAAAGGAAUAACAGAUUGCCAGCCUCCAACUAAUACCCCAGUCAGGUUAAUGUACGUACAAAAUGUACAAGUAUUUACUUAAUUGGAAAUGAAGGGAAAUCUCCCUCUAAAAAUGAGGGGGCUCUUCUAUUGUGCACACAGUUAAAGUAAGUUUAACAAGCUGGCUUGGUAAAAAUAUCUUUUCAGAAUUCUGACUUUAAACAAAGGCCUCUGAGGGGAACUUGCAUUUCCCUGUGUCUUUGAGAUGUAAAUGUUCUAGCUGAUCUUCCUAAGAUGUUCUCUGUGUGUGUGUUUUGAAAACUUGACCUCUGCCAUGUUUUUUUUGAGAGUAAACCCUCUGGAUUUUACUUAGGUUACAUCCUCCCUCACUGUCUUAUGGGAAGCCUCUUGUGUCUUAUUGGUUUGAAUCGCUAUUAAUAUAUAUUUUAUUAAUGACCAAAUGAUGUAUCCUUUUAAAUUGGAGAAACUAAUAAAUUGGUAAACUUGGAGCACUCUCAUUAUAAACAGAUGUUUUAUUGGUAACUAUAAAAACAAAAAUUAAAUAAGGUGGAAAAAAUAUAUCUAAUGAUUAAUCUAAGAACUUUAGUUUAAAACAAGUAAGAAAAACCGGUUUGGGAAGCUUCAUUUGUGGUCCUUGCUUCCCCUUAAAGGGUCUUACAGAUGCUAAUAAAAACAUUAGAAUAAUAUUAACAGAAAAAUCUGGUAAGGAAAGUCUAGAUACUAUUUCCAACAAGGUAGAAAAUUUAAAAGGAAUUAUCUCAAAUGAAUAAAGAAAUAAUUAGAUGGUUAUUUAAAAUGGAAUAAAUAAAACAGACAUUUAUGUGAUUAAAACACAAAGUUUCAAUAUUUCUACACUAUCUAAGGUUAACUGGGCCAAAAUGGACCCCUUACUGGUCCCCAACAUUAAAAGCCAAGCAAGUCCAUUCUAUUUACUACAGUUUUAAAAUAUAUAUUUAAGAGGCUAGAAAAAAAAUUUACACUGAGUUGCUUGACUGAUCUCAUAUGGCCUCAACCUGCAGUGGCUUGAAGCAGAAUUUCAGUUCCCAGCUAGAGACUGAGGUCAGGCAGCAGCAGUGAGAGCACUGAAUCCUAGCCACUAGACCACCAGGGACCAGGGGCCAGUGACAAGGCCCUGGCUUGUCAGCUGUGUAGAAAUGAAUUUCCACAUAGAGAUGGAAAUUGACGAAGCAAAUAAAAUGUUUAUUAGGAGGAAAAGAGUACAGUACAUGUGGAUAGACACAUGGGUGGGCUCAGAGAGAGAGUCGCGCCCUCGUGGUAGUUUGAAUCACUUUUAUGGGGCACUUCUUCCAGGUUUCCUUUGACCAAGCAUCUUGCUUUGCCUGGUUCUGAGUCUGUAUUUGACAUAUCUCAGGGUCCUCCCCUGUGUGCGUGCACAUCUCUCAGCCAAGAUGGAUUCUAGCGAAGAGGCAUAUGGGUAGUUGAUAUCACUUACUGUGGGGUGACGCCCCCUCCCUUUCUGACAUCCAACGAGCCUUUCUGCACAUGUGUAGUCAGGGAGGUCUCCUUGACUUCAAGAAGGAAGAAUAUGUGGUCUUUUAUCUCUUAUCUGGGCAGGGCCCAGCCUCCUCCAUCAUCUUACUUUUAUGGAGUUUCUGUCCACAGGGGAGAAACUGUUCAGCCUGAGGUUCAUCUAUCUCCUGCCUCAUGACCAGCAAUUAUCUGGGGUGUCAGUUAUGCCAAACAGCCUGAGUUCCUCAACUCAAACCCCCUCUGGGGAUCCCAGAGUCUUAUUAAUAUAAAAGUAGAUAAAAUGGACAGGGAAUAAAAAGAAAGAAAAACUUCUAAAACUCUUCUUGUAAGAUCAAAGAUUUUUUUUUAUAAAUUUAUUUAUUUACUUAUUUUAUUGGCUGUGUUGGGUCUUUUUUUUUUUUUUUUUGCUGUGCGCAGACUUUCUUUUUUUUAGUUGUGGUGAGUGGGGGCUACUCUUUGCUGUGGUGCAUGGGCUCCUCAUUGCCGUGGCUUCUCUUGUUGCAGAGCAUGGGCUCUAGGUGCAUGGGCUUCAGUAGUUGCAGUACAUGGGCUCAAUAGUUGUGGCUCACGGUCUCUAAGGCACAGGCUCAAUAGUUGUGGCGCACGGGCUAGUUGCCCUGCAGCAUGUGGGAUCUUCCUGGAGCAGGGAUCGAACCCGCGUCCCCUGCAUCGGCAGGCAGAUUCUCAACCAUUGCGCCACCUAGGAAGCCCAGAUCAAAGAUUUUUGAUUGGAUCCUAAUGAAAGUCAAAGGUAUAAAAGCUGACAGAAUUGAGAUGAAAGUGUAUAAAUUGGUAUAUUUAAAUGGGCUUUGUAUAAGAUGGUUACAUCUCUUGUUUAAUUAUAUCGUGGGGUAGGCAUGUUUCACUGGGAAGUGUUUCCUGUGCAUGGUAUUAUAAGACAAGGCAUAUGUCUGCACAUUAGGAAAUAUUAAUUAAACAUACUAAAGGAAACCAAUAUGUUUACCUGAGCCAUACAAAUAAGUAAAAACUGGGAACUAACAUUCAAGAGCUAAUAAAAAUAAAAAUAGUGAUUUUGCCCUGAGUUUAACUUGUAAACUCAGAAUGAAGUUCAUUCCUGAAUGCCUUAUAUAAAUUUUGAAGCCAUGAUUAAGUAAACUCUAAAGUUCUAGAACAUAGAACUCAUAAAUUUCAGUUUAGUCAGAAAUCUUCUCACUGAUGUAAUAUGAUAGUUGGACAAAUCAAUCUUUUAGUAUCCUUUAGGUGAUAGACCUGUUCUUUGGGGAACUAAAAGCAACUGUCUUUCUCUUGCAAAUCUCUUCAAACCAGGAAUGUAAAUACAGGCCACAAGGACCUAAGACUGAGCCUAAUUAGCUCAGUCAGGCAAGACCUGAAACCAAGAGAAAAAAAUGACAACAAAGUGGCAGUUUUAAAAUUCAAAUCACUGAGAAUGCUCCUCAGCCAAACUUUACAAAUAGUAAAGCUUUAGUCAUCGGAGAAAGCAACUUUAAUGUAUUCCAACUAUUAUUUGUAAACUAGUAAGUUUAUAUUGUAAUACCUGAGUAAAUGUAAAUGAGAUAAGAACUUUGGGUAAAUUCUUUAAAAAUAAUUAUAUUUUAGAAGCGUCUACUUAAAAUGAUCUUUACAGAUAUUUGGUAACUCAAAGUUCUAGAGUUGUGUUAAUUUAAGUGACGGGAUUUUAUUGAAUAGCUAGAUAAUUAAAAAAAAGAUGCUGAGACAUCAAUUACUAAAUAGAGAAACUGAAGGUAUUUAGGACUAUUAAUGAAAAUUUCAUGUUACCCUGAGAUGUUCUCUAUAAGAAGACAAAUAUUUUUAGAGACUAUCACUGGUAUUUAUGUUCACCAAUCAACAGAAUGCUAAUGUAAAAGACAGUUCAUAAUUGCUUACUUAGUUUUCACUAGAAAUUAAGGUUUUUGGGCUUCCCUGGUGGCACAGUGAUUAAGAAUCCGCCUGCCAAUGCAGGGAACAUGGGUUCAAGCCCUGGUCCAGGAAGAUCCCACAUGUCAUGGAGCAACUUAGCCCUUGCACCACACUACUGAGCCUGUGUGCUAGAGCCCAUGAGCCACAACUGUUGAGCCCAUGUGCUGCAACUACUGAAGCCCACGUGCCUAGAGCCCAUGCUCCACAGCAAGAGUAGCCACUGCAAUAAGACGCCCGUGCACCACAAUGAAGACUAGCCCCCACUCUCUGUAACUACAGAAAGCCUGUGCACAGCAACAAAGACCCAAUGUAGCCAAUAAAUAAAAAAUAAAUAAAUUUUAAAAAGCUAUUUUAAAAAAAGAAAUUAAAGUUUUUAAGAGUUUAGGGUUCUAAAUUAAACAUGUAAUUAAAACUAAUAGGAAUAACAAGCAUUUCAGUGUACAGUAAGAGAGUAAAAUGUGUGUUUUCAGUAAAAAAAGGUAUGAGGAAUGGAAUUACAUUUUAUUGAGGAAAAAAUUUACAUGGUCAGGGUUAAGUAAAUUUAGGUUGAAGUUAAGUAAGUAGACUUUGUUAAGUAAGCUAGUACAAGACUGGAAUUUGAACAAAGUUUCUUAGAGUGCUCCUUUUUGAUAACAAAUUGUGUGAGUUUCUGUGCCCUUAAGAACAGUAAGUCCCCUACAUAUGAAGAGUUCCAUUCCAAGAAUGCAUUUGUAAGUCCAAUUUGUUCAUAAGUCCAACAAAGUUAGCCCAAGUACCCAACUAACACAAUUGGCUAUAUAGUACUGUACUGUAGUAGGUUUAUAAUACCUCUCACAUAAAUAAUACAUAAAAAACAAACAAAUGCAAAAAGAAAACAUUGUUAAUCUUACUGUACAGUACCUUGAAAAGUACAGUAGUACAGUACAACAGCUGGCAUACAGGGGCUGGCAUACAGGCAAGAAGAGUUACUGACUGGAGGAGGGAGAGGAGGUGGGAGAUGGUAAACCUCAAGGAUCGUCAGCAAUAGGAAAUGGAGGACAAGCUGCAAUUUCACUCAUGCCUGACAUUGAUGGCGCAGGUUCUGGGCUUGAAAUAAAGAUGCUGUACUAGUGUACUCUACACAGUACUGUACAGUAAAGUACACAAAGCACAGCCACUUGUAGAGGGUGCAUGCACCUGCCAAUGUAUGCCAGACAUGUGAACUAACAUGUGAUUGGACAUAUGAACACACGUUCGUAUCUUUGAAAGUUUGCAACUUGAAAGUUCACAGGUAGGAAACUUGCUGUAAUCUUUUUGUGACUUUGGUUAAACAAAUAAGUAUAUUUUCAUAAAGACCUAUGAUCCUGUUGUGUUUUAAAAUCUUUUGAUAUUUUUAACAAAAUUCCCAAAUAUCAAAAUCUAGCUAAAGCUCUUUUAGCCUCCAGCUGACUCUGGGAGGCUUCAAAGGAGCAUCUCUAAGACAUCUCAGAGAGGAAUGUUAAAUUAAGUUUAUUUGGUAUGUUAAAUUACUUCAGAAACAUUGUCAAGUGAUUGGAGAUGAACCUUAGUGUAUGGAUGUCAUUAAUAUAGAUAUUCCGAAAUUAAUAUGGAAUCCCUAACAUCUGAUAUGUCCUGAUAUAAUUUUAUCCAUCACAAUUCUAGUUACUAUCCUAAAAUGUUAUGUCACAGGAGUAUCCAAGUUUGCUGCUAAUUGCAUUGUACUCAAAUUUUUAACUAUGCUAUUUUAAGUUUUGUCCUUUAUAGGCAAUCAUUAUUUUACACUGAUGCUUUUACAAAAUGAAGAUUUUCAAGAAGACUCAUAAAAGGAAAUUUUUUUUUAAACAAAUAUACGUUUCUGGUAGCCUUCAGAUAAUACCACUGAACUGGGCAACAAAUGACAAAACUCUAAUGGAAAACCUGAUAUCCAGAUCAAUGAAAAUCAAUUACAUGGGACUAAAUGAACUGAUGAGUAUGAUUUAUAACUUUAUGACUUUGGGAUAUAUACUAGCUUUAAUCUUUGUUUUUCAGAAAAAUCUUUUCUCUUAUGCUAUGACCUGUAACAAAUUGGUAAAGUAUACCUUUGUAAAUGAAGAUGAAACAUUUAUCUUUUUCUCUCUACCUGAUCCUGCCAGAAUUUGACUUCUUCAGCUGGCUCUCCUGUGGACUUCACAGUUUAUUUUAACUGGAUUACAACUAAUUAUACUAAUCAUUGUUUCAACAUGUUCUUUUUUAUCAAAUUGUUUAUGAUUUGUGUCUCCCUGCUGCACUAUGACUUUGUCAGUUUUACGAGCUGCAUUACUUAUAUCCUAUCUAUUUUAUGAUUGUUUUCUCUUACAGUACUUGAUGUGUAACCAGGCUUCCAACAAAAUUGAUGAUGGCUAAACAUCUUGAGAAAGUAGGUUACAUUUAUGACUCAUAUAAUAAUUAUAAUAGUGUGAUUUUUGGUAUGGGAAGAAGCAACAAGGGAAGACAUCUCCUAGAUCAAAAUAGACUAGUAGGACAGAGGAUCCAGAGAAUCUUUAAUUAUCCAUAUAGCCUAAUCUGAAAAUUAGCACCUGGAGUGGCAUAUCAACAAGAAUUUUCACCUGAUCUGGCAUGAGCCUCCCAGCACUGUGGGACAAAAAUUGGUCAUGACAUGUCUCCCAAAUAUUGGUCGAAUUCCUGACCAAGGGGAAGAUCUGAGAAAUGGAAUAUUUCAUGCCAUAUCAGUAAACAAAAGAUAUCACAGUCGUCAGCUAUUGCAGCCACCACUGAUGGUGAGCUGGUGAGCCCUGAGGGAACUCAGAAAGGAAACAAAGAUAACCUGCCAUCCAGCAGCCAUCAGACUGUAGCCACUCCCUAUGGUGAGCCCUGAGGAAACUCAGGGUGUUAAACACAGGAUACUGGCUACAGAUAGCUGGGGUACAUAUCAAAAGAAUGAUUUCAGUGAGCCCAGAUCUUGAACCUUCCCAUACUUAGAAAAGCGCUAAAUUCCUUAACUUGCAAUUUCUGAUUUUCUUUAAUUAACAAUAAUUUUUGAUGCUCCCAACUACCUGCCCUUUGUUGCAAAAUUCCUAUAUAUCCUAGUUUCCCCCUUAUCUCCUUGGAGCAAUUAUCUCAGGGUUACUUGAGAUGCUGCCUCCCGGGCUUGAAGUCCUAAAAAUUCCCACUGAAUAAAACAUAACACUUGGGCUCCCUAGGUGGUGCAGUGGUUAAGAAUCUGCCUGCCAAUACAGGGGACAUGGGUUCAAUCCCUGCCCCAGGAAGAUCCCACAUGCUGCGGAGCAACUAAGCUCGUGCGCACAACCAUUGAGCCUGCACUUUAGAACCCGUGAGCCACAACUAUUGAGCCCAUGUGCUGCAACUACUGAAGCCCACAUGCCUAGAGCCUGUGCUCUGCAACAAGAGAAGCCAUGGCAAUGAGGAGCCUGCACACCACAAUGAAGAGUAGCCCCCCACCACAACCAAAGAAAGCCUGCACACAGCAAAAAAGACCCAACACAGACAAUAAAAUAAAUAAAUAAAUAAAUUUAUAAAAAAAAAAAAAAAAAAAACCAAAAAAACCCCCUCAACUUUUAGGUUGUGCAUAUUUUUUUUAAAGAACUUUUAUUGAGAUACAGUUAACAGACAAUAAACAGCAUAUAUUUAGAGUGUACAAUUUGGUAUCCCAAUCUCCCCAUUCAUCCCCCCCCAACCCUCCCCGCUUUCCCCACUUGGUGUCCAUGUGUUUGUUCUUUACAUCUCUGUCUCCAUUUCUGCCUUGCAUUUCCUCUUUCAUAGUUGUUAGCAUUUGCCUUAUGUAUUGAGGUGCUCCUAUAUUGCGUGCAUAUAUAUUUAUAGUUGUUAUCUCCUCUUCUCAGAUUGAUCCCUUGAUCUUUAUGUAAUGUCCUUUCUUGUCUCUUGUAACAUUUGUUAUUUUAAAGUCUCUUUUAUCUGAUAUGAGUAUUGCUACUCCAGCUUUCUUUUGAUUUCCAUUUGCAUGGAAUAUCUUUUUUCCAUCCCCUCACUUUCAGUCUGUAUGUGCCCCUAGGUCUGAAGUGGGUCUCUUGUAGACAGCAUAUAUAUGGGUCUUCUUUUUGUAUCCAUUCAGCCAGUCUGUGUCUUUUGGUUGGUGCAUUUAGUCCAUUUACAUUCAAGGUAAUUGUUGAUAUGCAUGUUCCCAUUACCAUUUUCUUAAUUGUUUUGUUUUUGUUUUUGUAGGUCCUUCUCUUCUCUUGUGUUUCCCUCUUAGAGAAGUUCCUUUAGCAUUUGUUGUAGGGCUGGUUUGGUGGUGCUGAAUUCUCUUAGCUGUUGCUUGUCUGUAAAACUUUUGAUUUCUCCAUUGAAUGUGAAUGAGAUCCUUGCUGGGUAGAGUGUUCUUGGUUGUAGGUUCUUCCCUUGCAUCACUUGAAAUAUAUCAUGCCACUCCCUUCUGGCUUGCAGAGUUUCUGCUGAGAAAUCAGCUGUUAACCUUAUGGGAGUUCCCUUGUAUGUUAUUUGUUUUUCCCUUGUUGCUUUUAAUAACUUUUCUCUGUCUUUAAUUUUUGUCAACUUGACUAAUAUAUGUCUUGGAGUGUUUCUCCUUGGUUUAUCCUGCCUGGGACUCUCUGCACUUCCUGGACUUGGGUAGCUAUUUCCUUUCCCAUGUUAGAGAAGUUUUCAACUAUAAUCUCUUCCAAUAUUUUCUCAGGCCCUUUCUCUCUCUCUCGUCGCCUUCUGGGACCCCUAUAAUGCAAAUGUUGGUGUGUUUAACAUUGUCCAAGAGGUCUCUUAGGCUGUCUUCAGUUCUUUUCAUUCUUUUUUCCUUAUUCUUUUCUGCAUCAGUGAUGAUCACCAUUCUGUCUUCCAGGUCACUUAUUCGCCCUUCUGCCUCAGUUAAUCUGCUGUUGUUUCCUUCUAGUGUAUUUUUCAUUUCCGUUAUUGUGUUGCAUAUCUCUGUUUGUUUGCUCUUUAAUUCUUCUAGGUCUUUGGUAAACUUUUUGAUCUUUGCAUCCAGUCUUUUUCAAAGUCCUUGAUCAUCUUCACUAUCAUUAUUCUGAAUUUUUUUUCUGUAAGGGUGCCUAUCUCCUCUUCAUUUAGUUGUUUUUCUGGGGCUUUAUCCUGUCCCUUCAUUUGGUACAAAGUCCUCUGCUUUUUCAUUUUCUCUAUCUUUCUGUGGCUGUGGUUUUCAGUUCCACAAGAUGAAAUACUGCUGAUACUGCUUGAUACUGCUGUCUGCCCUCUUGUGGAGGAAGCUAUCUCUAGGUUGUGCAUAUUUUUUAAGUCAACAUGUAUCUGCAUUAUGCAUCAACCAAACCUCUCCCAUUGGCAGAAAUACCUGCCCAACCCUAAAGAGCUACUAGCAUCAACAAGACAACUCCUUAGAAGAUAACCUACCUUCUUGAUUUUGCAAGGAGUCACAUGACCCAUCACUUCAUACUCACAGAUUUGGAUUGUGUAAACUGUUGAUAAUAUGUCACUUGAUGUACAGCCCUCUGUCUCCAAAAACGUAUAUAAAUGUGCUUUGACUUUUAUUGGGCAGAACAAUUCUCAGAGCUUUCUGAGAUGCUGUUUUUAGGUUAUAAUCCUCAAUUUGACUUAAAUAAAAUUUUCCAUUUCUU